rnacentral:rRNA from 1 species
UGGGGUAUAUUGGACAUGGGGGGAACCCUGAUCCAGCCAUGCCGCGUGUGUGAAGAAGGCCUUAUGGUUGUAAAGCACUUUAAGCGAGGAGGAGGCUCCUGUGGUUAAUACCUACAGAUGAGUGGACGUUACUCGCAGAAUAAGCACCGGCUAACUCUGUGCCAGCAGCCGCGGUAAUACAGAGGGUGCGAGCGUUAAUCGGAUUUACUGGGCGUAAAGCGUGCGUAGGCGGCUUUUUAAGUCGGAUGUGAAAUCCCCGAGCUUAACUUGGGAAUUGCAUUCGAUACUGGGAAGCUAGAGUAUGGGAGAGGAUGGUAGAAUUCCAGGUGUAGCGGUGAAAUGCGUAGAGAUCUGGAGGAAUACCGAUGGCGAAGGCAGCCAUCUGGCCUAAUACUGACGCUGAGGUACGAAAGCAUGGGGAGCAAACAGGAUUAGAUACCCUGGUAGUCCAUGCCGUAAACGAUGUCUACUAGCCGUUGGGGCCUUUGAGGCUUUAGUGGCGCAGCUAACGCGAUAAGUAGACCGCCUGGGGAGUACGGU